rnacentral:rRNA from 1 species
GAUGAACGCUAGCGGCAGGCUUAAUACAUGCAAGUCGAGGGGCAGCAUGAUUGUAGCAAUACAAUUGAUGGCGACCGGCAAACGGGUGCGGAACACGUACACAACCUUCCAAUAAGUGGGGAAUAGCCCAGAGAAAUUUGGAUUAAUACACCGUAACAUAACGAUGUGGCAUCACAUUGUUAUUAUAGAUUUUUCGCUUAUUGAUGGGUGUGCGGCUGAUUAGAUAGUUGGCGGGGUAACGGCCCACCAAGUCUACGAUCAGUAGCUGAUGUGAGAGCAUGAUCAGCCACACGGGCACUGAGACACGGGCCCGACUCCUACGGGAGGCAGCAGUAAGGAAUAUUGGACAAUGGACGCAAGUCUGAUCCAGCCAUGCCGCGUGAAGGAUUAAGGUCCUCUGGAUUGUAAACUUCUUUUAUAAGGGACGAAAAAAGGCUUUUCUAAGUCGUCUGACGGUACCUUAUGAAUAAGCACCGGCUAACUCCGUGCCAGCCGCCGCGGUAAUAC